rnacentral:lncRNA from 1 species
GGCCUUUUCCACCCUUGAAAAGGACCCAGGUCGGGAGAGCACCAGACAUCUUCACUCCCAAGUCAUCCUUCUAAAGGCCAGCUGAUCUGGGAAUAGACUAAACUAUUGUCGGACAUUUAAUUUUCAAGGAGAGAGCAAAGUGGCCGGGAGACUUUAAAAAUUGCUCUCAGCUUUAUGUGCAACUGCCUGUCUGGCUGGAGGUCACCACCAAACCCCACGUCUGUGAAGACUCCUGGGCUUAAAGGUGCAGGCAGAGCAUUUUUUCCUGGAGCUGAAGAAAAUUGCAAAGCUGAUCCUGCUUUCUUCAGAAUGGACUCAGCUCUACAACAGAACUCCAGUCCUUAUUUACCGGCAGGCUUGUGGCCGGCCAGGCCCCUCCAAUGGCCUUACCACUAACAGAGAACAAUGCAGAGAACAAGGUAUCAUCCCUAGAAGGAUUCCCUGCAAAGUCCUGGCAUAUUACUCCUGACAGCUUAGAGUUACAGAAAGACACAGCUCCACAUAAAUACCUGGUCUUGAAAAUUGCUGUUUCGCCAGAAGCAGACAUGGCCAAAGUAGCCACAAAAUGUGUUUAAGCAUAGGCUGUGCCAAACUCACGGGGCUAUGACAGAAUAAUACUAAUAUUGAUUGGACAUCCAUUAUGUCACACACUCUCUAUUUGUUCUUCUACAUCUACAGCAGCUCUGCAAAGGAGGAAUUAUGACACCAUGGCUGUCAGUAUGACACAAUGGCCAAGGCUUCUGGGACCAAAGCCAGUAGAUGAGGUUUGAAUUCUACUUGUGCCUCUUAUUAGCUGGGCAACUGUUAUGCCUUAUAUCUAGAAUGUCCCCAAAAGCCUCCUGUCCUCAGAGGUGGGGAUUUUUGAGGGAGAUUGGAUCGUGGGUGCUUCCAUUGCUGAGGUCAGGUCUGUCGCUGAGCAUGCUGACAGGACAGGGGGCCUGGGUGGAGCUGAGUCACUGGGGUGUCACCCAGAAGGCUGUCUCUGCCUCCUUGGCUCCUCCCUCCUCACGCUGCCUCUUGGCCACCCUGAUGUGAGCAGCUUUCUUCUCUGCCCCUCUGCUGUGCAACGUCUACCUUGUGGACAGCUGACCGUGGGCAGAAAAUGUGAGCCCAUAAACCUUCCUCCUUUAAGUUAUAGGUGCCGGGUAUUUUCUCCCAAAGACGAGAAAGCAACUAAGGUGGCGACGUUGAACAAGUCACUGAAUCUCACUCUGCCUAAGCAUCCUCAGCAUUGCCAUGGAGAUGGUUAUUGUGCCAACUUCAUAGGACUGCAGGGAGUUCCCUUGGACCAGGAGGUAGCUCCAGAACAGAACAUCAGUUGUUCUGAGUCCAACCAAGCACAACCACAGAGAGAGGAGAGGCCCCCAAGAAUAAGAAUGGUUCCCAAAGUCACACAGCUGGUGAGAGGCAAACGCAAAUGACCAGAAGACUCAGAGCUGCCUGUGGUGGAGCUGGCCGUGCCCGGAGCCGGGAGCAGUUGCACUUCUGCCAGCUUGGCUCGCAGGCAGCAGUGCCCUGUGGGUCUGCUACGAAGCUCAUCUCUGUAGCUGCAUGGAUGUCCUGGGGACCAAACUGAGGCCGCCUCCCCACUACCACCAUGGGGUCCACAUGGACAGGACCUGCGUUCCCCAUCCUUCCACAAACCAUUCAUAACCUCGUCCUGCACCCCGGCCCCUGGCCUGGCCCUGAAGCUAAAAGGAAGAAAGAAAAGCCACAGCCCUGCCGAGUUGGAGUCAGACGGGAGCACAAGGAGGUGAAAACACAGAGUCCAAAGAAGGGGAAAGCAUACAGCAGGGAAGACAAGGCUCUGCCUGGAGGGCUCUGGGUGGCAGCAGAAGCCCCCAACAAGUGAACUGUGGCCAGAUGUCUGAUGACAGACUUCCUGCUGGGACGGAGUGACAAGUGAGAAGGGUGACACUGCAGCUGGAGACAACAGCAAGAACAGGGGCUCUGCUGUGAUGUCACCUCCUCAGUCCCUGACCACUCACAGAAGUAUCCAUAGCCAGGUGUGGUGACGGAUGCCUGUAAUCCCAGUACUAGGGAGGCUGAAGCAGGAGGAUCGCCAUGAGUUCACCAGCCUCAGCCAUAGCGACUUUGAGACCGUGUUUCAAAGAGACAAAACAAACAAAAGAAGUACCCAUAGCAUGCUCAUUCCUACUUUAUUUCUCUUCCCACUUAUUAACUGUAGAUGGCGACAUAUCAUCUCCUUGUUGAUUCCCCAGCUCUCAGACUGAGAUACAAGCAGCCUCACUCAGCACACACUGCUUCAGUGCUGCAUCUUGCUACCUGGAACCGUAGGGAGCACAUAGUAGAUGCUCAAUAAAUAUGUGCUGCAUAAACAAAGCUGUUGCUGUAGAUGUGGCUCAGGACACUGUGUAAAUGCUCUUGGGCUUGCCUCUUUAAUACAGAGUAAGGGAGCACUUCUUAAUCAGUGUUAUGGCUUGUGUUUUGAUGUUCCCCCAAAGCUUCAUGCGGUCCUAGGUGGGGCUUUUUCAGAGGUGGCUGGAUCUAGAGUGUGUCACCCUGGGAUUGAUUCACGGUGCAAUGCGAGGCUUGAGAGCAGUAGGAUUAAGGGUGUGAGUGCUGCCCACCCUAAGUAGCCUGGGUAAGAUAUAAGGGACAGAAAGAGCUGUCCCUUUGCUUGCUUUGCUACCUUCUGUGUGACAUGAACUGUUUCCCCUUUGCCACCCACCCUGUCUUGGUGCCAGCUGAUUAUAGACUGAAAACUCUACAAAC